rnacentral:rRNA from 1 species
CCUACGGGAGGCAGCAGUGAGGAAUAUUGGUCAAUGGACGAGAGUCUGAACCAGCCAAGUAGCGUGAAGGAUGACUGCCCUAUGGGCUGUAACCUUCUUUUAUAAAGGAAUAAAACGAGGCACGUGUGCCUUUUUGCAUGUACUUUAUGAAUAAGGAUCGGCUAACCCCGUGCCAGCAGCACCGGUAAUACGGUGGAUCCGAGCGUUAUCCGGAUUUAUUGUGUUUAAAGGGAGCGUAGAUGGGUUGUUAAGUCAGUUGUGAAAGUUUGCGGCUUAACCGUAAAAUUGCAAUUGAUACUGGCAGUCUUGAGUACAGUUGAGGUAGGCGGAAUUCGAGGUGUAGCGGUGAAAUGCUUAGAUAUCACGAAGAACCCCGAUUGCGAAGGCAGCUUACUAAACUGUGACUGACAUUGAUGCUCGAAAGUGUGGGUAGCAAACAGGAUUAGAUACCCGGGUAGUC